UUUGUUCUUUAGUGGAGCUCGAGAUCCUGUUUACUGUGGACUAACUGUGUGUGACGCCCUGUUGUUUUUGUUUCCAUUAAAAAAAAAAGGAACAUGGAGUUGGGAUUUGCAAUCUGAGGCAGAGAAUGAGGAGCUGCCAGAAAAAAGGAACAGGAAGCCAGUCCAUCGUCUCGGGGACUCGGAUGAUAGCGAAGAAGACCCGGGAAAUAGUGACCUUGCAUCUCUGGGGUUGGCAAGCCAAUUGCACAGGCAGA